rnacentral:tRNA from 1 species
UGGGGUGUGGCUCAGUGGCAGAGCGCCCGCCUAGCACACAGGAGGCACUGGGUUCGAUCCUCAGCUCCACAU